AUUAAUAAUAUCAAAAUGAAUAUAUCUUGCGUUUCUCGAACAAAUUUGGGCUCAUAAAUAUUUGAUAUUUUAAGAUGUCUAUGCCGCUUAAUUAAAAGUUAAUAAGAUUGAAAUUUCGUAUCAAGAAUUCCUGAGGUUUUCUAUAUGAUGUUCAUGCUUUUCAUGUAGCCACCAACAUUAAUCGGUCAGUUGAUAUAAAAAAUUACGUUACUUAUCAACGACUCUCAUGAGCUCCUAGUACUAAAAUUGUAAUUUUUGUCCGAAACACUAAAAAAAAGAUGUCUGGCCAUUGUCAAACUACACGAGGAACUGAAAACAUAUUGUACUUGAAUGCCGCAAAACGAUACUGAAGGCAAUAGACUGACCAUUGGUCCACAAGAAAAUUUAUCAAACUAACUUUAUAACAUAGUAAAAACCUUAAAAUUCAUCGAAGCAGUACAAAUUAGAGACAAGAUUUAAUAUUUCUUUUUAUCCGAUUGCAAAGAAACUUUGGUAAAUGUUCGAGCACGGUAUUAAGUAAGAUUAUCCAUAAAUAAGUUACCGGUAUAUCAUAAACAAAUAUUAAAGGAGUUCGCUGCCCUUGAAAAUGAAUAAAAUUAAACUCAUGAUAAAACAUCUUUUACCCUUAAAAUAAUUUGCAUGCAGUGGUACGCAGUAAAAAAUGCCGAACCGACAUCAAACAUUUGUAGCAUUAUUGAUACUACUAUUCUUUUUUAUCGAGUCAUACUUGGCAAAGAAUCGUAAUUGUAGCUGAAUGAUAAUCUAAUGAUAUUAGAUUAUAUACAUAUUUAAAUACAAAUCGUGAUACAAAGUUAUACAUAGUCGUUCAACUCAACCAGUCAUAAUAUUUGAAGAGAGUUUGGUAAAUUUUUUUUGGACAGAUGGUAAUUUUUUUUAUUGGAAGAGAGACAGAAUCCCAAUAAACCUGUACUCUAAGAACUUAUUCAACAAAUUAUUAAAAAAAUCUUAUUGUAUAACUUUAAUUUGAUACUAGUCAAAAUAUUUAAAAAUAAAACAUUAAUAAAAUCAACAAAUUAAUUAUUA